GGAAGGGUGGGUGAGUCUGGCUGAAACCGCUCGACUCGAAAUCGAGUAGGCACAUUAAGUGUCUCGAGGGUUCAAAUCCCUCCCCUUCCG
rnacentral:tRNA from 1 species